GGCGUCGUGCUGUGAUGGCUAGGCACCCGGGUUUUCACCUCGGACGCGCGGGUUCAAUUCCCGUCGGCGCUA
rnacentral:tRNA from 1 species